rnacentral:tRNA from 1 species
UUAAUAGGGCUGCAUGGAGCAGGUCACUUUGAUAUAGUGAAUAGUGAAUAAUAUUCCGUUAAU